rnacentral:rRNA from 1 species
GAUGAACGCUGGCGGCGUGCUUAACACAUGCAAGUCGAACGGUGAAAGAGAGCUUGCUCUCUGGAUCAGUGGCGAACGGGUGAGUAACACGUGAGCAAUCUGCCCCUGACUCUGGGAUAAGCGCUGGAAACGGCGUCUAAUACCGGAUACGAGCUGCGAAGGCAUCUUCAGCAGCUGGAAAGAACUUCGGUCAGGGAUGAGCUCGCGGCCUAUCAGCUAGUUGGUGAGGUAAUGGCUCACCAAGGCGUCGACGGGUAGCCGGCCUGAGAGGGUGACCGGCCACACUGGGACUGAGACACGGCCCAGACUCCUACGGGAGGCAGCAGUGGGGAAUAUUGCACAAUGGGCGCAAGCCUGAUGCAGCAACGCCGCGUGAGGGACGACGGCCUUCGGGUUGUAAACCUCUUUUAGCAGGGAAGAAGCGAAAGUGACGGUACCUGCAGAAAAAGCACCGGCUAACUACGUGCCAGCCGCCGCCGUAAAAC